UGGGUAACCUGCCUCAAAGAGGGGAAUAGCCUCCCGAAAGGGAGAUUAAUACCGCAUAAUAUGUUUAAGUCGCAUGACUUUAACAUCAAAGGAUUUUUCUUUUAGAAAUUCCACUUUGAGAUGGACCCGCGGCGCAUUAGCUAGUUGGUGAGGUAACGGCUCACCAAGGCAUUGACGGGUAGCCGGCCUGAGAGAAUGACCGGCCACACUGGGACUGAGACACGGCCCAGACCUCCGUACGGGAGCA
rnacentral:rRNA from 1 species